rnacentral:rRNA from 1 species
GAUGAACGCUGACAGAAUGCUUAACACAUGCAAGUCAACUGUGGCGGACGGGUGAGUAACGCGUAAAGAACUUGCCUCACAGAUAGGGACAACAUUUGGAAACGAAUGCUAAUACCUGAUACUGUUAGCGAGCUUUGCGUCCCAUUCGCUAGUUGGAGAGGUAACGGCUCACCAGGGCGAUGAUGGGUAGCCGGCCUGAGAGGGUGAUCGGCCACAAAGGGACUGGGGAGCGGCCCGUACUCCUACGGGGGGAAGCAGUGGGGAAUAUUGGACAAUGGACCAAAGUCUGAUCAAGGAAUUCUGUGUGCAAGAUGAAGUUUUCGGAAUGUAAAGUGCUUUCAGUAUGGAAUCGGUACCAACAGAAGAAGUGACGGCUAAAUACGUGCCAGCAGCCGCGGUAAUUC